rnacentral:snRNA from 1 species
CAGCUCAGAACUGGUACG